rnacentral:rRNA from 1 species
UACGUAGGGAGCAAGCGUUGUCCGGAAUCAUUGGGCGUAAAGCGCGCGUAGGUGGCUCCAUAAGUCCGUUGUGAAAGUCAAAGGCUCAACCUUUGAAAGCCGAUGGAUACUGUGGAGCUAGAGUACGGAAGAGGCGAGUGGAAUUCCUGGUGUAGCGGUGGAAUGCGCAGAUAUCAGGAGGAACACCAAUAGCGAAGGCAGCUCGCUGGGACGUUACUGACACUGAGGCGCGAAAGCGUGGGGAGCGAACAGGA